rnacentral:rRNA from 1 species
AGAGUUUGAUCAUGGCUCAGAACGAACGCUGGCGGCAGGCUUAACACAUGCAAGUCGAACGCUCGUAGCAAUACGGGAGUGGCAGACGGGUGAGUAACGCGUGGGAACAUACCCUCCGGUUCGGAAUAGCUCAGGGAAACUUGGAUUAAUACCGGAUACGGCUGAGAGGCGAAAGAUUUAUCGCCGGAGGAUUGGCCCGCGUUCGAUUAGCUUGUUGGUGAGGUAACGGCUCACCAAGGCGAUGAUCGAUAGCUGGUCUGAGAGGAUGAUCAGCCACAUUGGGACUGAGACACGGCCCAAACUCCUAUGGGAGGCAGCAGUGGGGAAUAUUGGACAAUGGGCGCAAGCCUGAUCCAGCCAUGCCGCGUGAGUGAUGACGGCCUUAGGGUUGUAAAGCUCUUUCGCUCGGGACGAUAAUGACGGUACCGAGAUAAGAAGCCCCGGCUAACUUCGUGCCAGCAGCCGCGGUAAUACGAAGGGGGCUAGCGUUGUUCGGAAUUACUGGGCGUAAAGCGCGUGUAGGCGGGUCUUUAAGUCAGGGGUGAAAUGCCAAGGCUCAACCUUGGAACUGCCUUUGAUACUGGAGAUCUUGAGUCCGGAAGAGGUGAGUGGAAUUGCGAGUGUAGAGGUGAAAUUCGUAGAUAUUCGCAAGAACACCAGUGGCGAAGGCGGCUCACUGGUCCGGAACUGACGCUGAGACGCGAAAGCGUGGGGAGCAAACAGGAUUAGAUACCCUAGUAGUCC